UACGGAGGGGACUAGCGUUGUUCGGAAUUACUGGGCGUAAAGCGCACGUAGGCGGAUUUGCUAGUCAGGGGUGAAAUCCCGAGGCUCAACCUCGGAACUGCCUUUGAUACUGCAAAUCUCGAGUCCGGAAGAGGUGAGUGGAAUUCCUAGUGUAGAGGUGAAAUUCGUAGAUAUUAGGAAGAACACCAGUGGCGAAGGCGGCUCACUGGUCCGGUACUGACGCUGAGGUGCGAAAGCGUGGGGAGCAAACAGG
rnacentral:rRNA from 1 species